ACAAGCGGCGGAGCAUGCGGAUUAAUUCGAUGCAACGCGAAGAACCUUACCAAGGCUUGACAUACACCGGUAACGCCCAGAGAUGGGUGCCCCUUUGUGGUCGGUGUACAGGUGGUGCAUGGUUGUCGUCAGCUCGUGUCGUGAGAUGUUGGGUUAAGUCCCGCAACGAGCGCAACCCUCGUCCUAUGUUGCCAGCGGGUCAUGCCGGGGACUCAUGGGAGACUGCCGGGGUCAACUCGGAGGAAGGUGGGGAUGACGUCAAAUCAUCAUGCCCCUUAUGUCUUGGGCUUCACGCAUGCUACAAUGGCCGGUACAAAGGGCUGCGAUACCGCGAGGUGGAGCGAAUCCCAGAAAGCCGGUCUCAGUUCGGAUUGGGGUCUGCAACUCGACCCCAUGAAGUCGGAGUCGCUAGUAAUCGCAGAUCAGCAACGCUGCGGUGAAUAACGUUCCCGGGGCCCUU
rnacentral:rRNA from 1 species